CAAAUCCCACCAAUAGAUGCCUGCGGUCGUCCCCUUCAUGACUUCGCUGUUGGCCCGUCCCUCUGCGAGCCUCGACCGUCGGGCCCCCGUUUUCCCUCCCGGCGCUGGCCACUCCAUCGCCCUUCCGACAGAGGCACCUCCUCCGCCUCUGCUUUGCGUAUGUGGGAUCACACAACCACUGAUCAUAUGGCCGGUUCCUCAGGUCGGGCACCAGAUGCUCCGAACCUGCCAUAUCAUGCUCUGCUAUGGCGGGAACGAUACGAUCGCCUGGGCCACCUCCCAUGGUCCUCGGCAGCUCCAAAUAAGAGGUGAGAAAUCACGCGCACCUGCAUGUGUUCGAUAUUGUGUGCAAUGAUCAUAGUGGAUUCGGCAUGGAGGGCGGUGGAGCUUCUGGGUCUCGAUCAUCACAGACGUGAACAUAACAGGCAGGACAGACGGCGUAGGAAAGGCGCGCGAUCGAGAGACGGCCGCCUUUGGCAUCACAAGACCUCGAUGUCGUCAUGGCAGUCAGACGCGUGAUGCGUCCGGCAACGCGUCCUCACUCCCAGACAACUCGCAGUCGUUCCCCGACGACGACGCUUGCGGCUUGCCCCGCCGCCCUAUGCAGCCCUCCCGCCGUCAGCGUGUGAGGUCGCUACGGCCCGGCUACCUUGCGCCCUCUCACGUCUCUCUGGCCGCAGCCCGGCGCCACCUUCCAGCGCAGAUGGGAGGCCGCCGCCUUGAGCUCGCGCCAGCCCAGCUGCAAGUCAGCCGUGGACGAGGUCGACUUGCAUACACGGGAGAUGGCGCAGAGUGCUGGCCGCGAUCGCCGCGGCGGUGAUGGGCAUGGCCCGGCCAAUACGGUGAUGGACGAGAUGGUCUACAGCAUGAACAACAAGAAAGCGCACUACGGCACUCUCGCGGCCUCGCCAAAACCCCUGUGCCCCAGGCCGUAUCUCUGGCUACUCCUCCAGCGGCUCCGCCGUCGCCGUCGCCCGAAGCCUUGCUGACUUCGCCCUGGCCACAGAAAGCGGCGGCAGCGUUAGGGUGUCCGCUGCCUAUUGCGGCAACUACAGGCUCCGGCCCUCCCACGGACUGGUGCGCACUGAAUAUGUCAUCCUGUUGGCACAUAUGUUCGACACUGUCGGUUUCAGUUAUGCUUCUGCGAUAUUUGCCCCGCGAUGGAGCCAGUCGAACAUAUGUUGCUUUCACUGCAGGGCCGGGUCGAGCUGUGGAAUGCCCUGGGGCUACUCACUAUAGCACUAUACUCCUCCUACUCAUUGUCUUUGUUUCCAUUGAGGUUUAGGACAGUUCGUAAUAUGCGUCUUCGAUAGUAUGCACAUCUCCAAAACGGUAUCCUGCAUGAGCAUUGCAGAGGUGUGGACCAAAGACGCUGUCAUGAAGGGGUAUUUUCUCUUUCAUCGGUAACUUCCACUUGAAUCUGUUCCCAAUGGAAGAACAGUGCACUAUAUCACAAAGGAAUGCCUUAUCUACCAUUGUUGCUCUUCUUAUUCAUCUACAAUGAGAUGCUCUUCAUGGAAGACAUAGCGCGGGCUGCAACCUUUCCAGUUUCUUCCGGUUCUGCACUACUUACAAGAUCAGUGGUUUCUUCUUAUUUUGUCUUACAUGAAUGAAAUGAUCAUUCUCUAUGGUGAAUAUGAUCAUUGUAUUUUUUUUGUUAUUCAUGCUGGGCUAAGGGGGGAAAUGUCAUUUUUUUUGUUAUUCAUGCUGGGCUAAGGGGGGAAAUGUCAUUUUUUUUGUUAUUCAUGCUGGGCUAAGGGGGGAAAUGUCUAAUUUUAUAGCAUUGAUCAGGUUUUCUCUUCGCAAUACUAUACUAAAAUAUAAAUCAAUGGUGAAUGCAUAUCCCCAUAUUGCUUUAAAAUACAGAGACCCAUGUCAUAAUCAACGAAACAAAAAGCGCGCUAUUUCACCGUUAUAGUGUCGCUAUAGCGUAUUUGGAAGGGGCACACUAUAUUUAGCAAAUUUGCUCGAUAUGGCGCUAAUCAUGCUAAACAUAAUUACAUUAUGUUGUAGCACUGUAGUGUGCACGGUGCACCCAACAACAUUACACUGCAUACUGUAGCGCAUCAGACCACCCAGGGGUGGCGGCGUCUCUGGACCGGCAGGGGCUGUGGCUUCUUCAUCAAGCAUUCAAUGUUGCAAAAAGAAACUUAUUUAGUGUUCAAGAUUUUGCAUGAACCUUACAAUGGCAACUCAACAUGGCCUGUCAACAUGCGACUUUUCAGCAAAAUGAAUUCACAAGACAAAUCAAAACUCGAACAAUAAUCUAUGACAAUUUUUCAGAUACCAUACCAUUACCCAUGUAUCCACAGCAACCACACACCAUUGACUCGAUGGUGACAUACCCUGGUGUCAAAGUGCACAGAAUCGCAUCCAAGAAUUUGCAUAGGCGCUCUGCCAUUUCAUCAUCGACACCAAUCUAGCAUGUGGUCGUAGAACGAUGAAAUGAUUUACCAUAACGACACAAAUUUAGCAUGCAAGCUCUAAUUGUAUUCCCCCUUGUAUGAAAUGUAGCAACUGUUUUAUUCAAUAAACUUUUCCAGUGUCCACAUAUAACAACUUAAUGUUCAUGCAUACGUUAUAAUGUAGAAAACAAGCAACAACUAAGCCAUUAGUUGUACAAUUAACAAAUAAACUUUUCCAGCAUCCAUAUAUAAGAACUUAAUGUUCAUACGGGAGUACAUCAUAGUGUAAAAAACAAGCAACAACUGAGCCAUUAGAUGGAAAAUUAACACAUAAACUUUUCCAUCACCACAUAAAGACCUUUCAUAUUAUGUUUCAACAGGCGCGGCGUGCCGCCGCGCGGGCAUGCUAGUCUCAACUAAAACUGA